rnacentral:sRNA from 1 species
CAAAUGAGGCUGCAAGAGAUUUUGGGGGUGCUGUUCAAGAUUAUUUUAAGUGGAAGGCCGACAUGACCAACUUUGAUGUGGAGGUUCUUUUGAACAUCCAUGAUAAUGAAGUCAUUGUGGGCAUUGCAUUGACUGAAGAGAGUCUCCACCGAAGAAAUAUAACACAUUUUGGACCUACAACUCUUAGAUCAACUCUUGCCUAUGGGAUGCUCAGGCUCUGUGAUCCUCUACCUUAUGAUAUAAUAGUCGAUCCAAUGUGUGGAACUGGGGCAAUACCAAUAGAGGGGGCCACUGAAUGGUCUGACUGUUUCCAUAUUGCUGGUGAUAAUAAUCCACUGGCUGUGAAUAGAGCAGCAAAUAACAUUGCAUCUUUAUUGACCAAGAGCCAAAUUAAAGAAGGGUAAAAAUUUAAAAGAUUUCUUAGCAUCUUUUAGAGUUAGAGAAUCACUUUUUAUAUUGACUUUAUGAAUUAAAACUCCCAGUGCAUUGUGACGUCAUUGUAACCAAAAUGAAUAUACUAUGAGACUCCAUUUACAUUUUUAAAGUUUAUUGAAAAUAAUUUAUAUUUUUAAAAUAUUAUUUUAGCGAUAAUUUCCCCACCAUAUGCAAUUUUUCAUUUGUCUUAUUCAUAUGUCUUUUCCCCCACAUAUUGGAAGAAUAUUCUAUAGAC